UUCAGAGAUGGAUACGUGCCCGAAAGGGAACCUGCACACAGGUGCUGCAUGGCUGUCGUCAGCUCGUGUCGUGAGAUGUUGGGUUAAGUCCCGCAACGAGCGCAACCCUUGCCAUUAGUUGCUACGAAAGGGCACUCUAAUGGGACUGCCGGUGACAAACCGGAGGAAGGUGGGGAUGACGUCAAGUCCUCAUGGCCCUUAUAGGUGGGGCUACACACGUCAUACAAUGGCUGGUACAGAGGGUUGCCAACCCGCGAGGGGGAGCUAAUCCCAUAAAGCCAGUCGUAGUCCGGAUCGCAGUCUGCAACUCGACUGCGUGAAGUCGGAAUCGCUAGUAAUCGCGGAUCAGAAUGUCGCGGUGAAUACGUUCCCGGGUCUU
rnacentral:rRNA from 1 species